GCCUGACCUGUGUCACAACAAUGCAAUCAACUUAUGGUGACUACUGUCAGUACUAACUCACUUCUCUGUAAUUAAUUAAAAAAAAGGAACAGAAAUAAUUUAUUUUAGAUCAAGACCAAACUGUUAAAAAAUAAUCUAAGUUUAUGUUUCCUUUACACAGCAGUUCAGACUUAGAUUUAUUAGUUAUAGCUGGUUCAGACUAAAAGAGAACAUACUGUAUCUGCAACAUGGACAUCAUAGCCAAGCAUAUGGAUUUCAUUUGCAAAGACUUUAGUGAUGAUGCGUAACUGUGCUAUCCUGUCUUCUAUUCAUUCUAACUGCCAGGAGACGUGACGUUUUUUACACUAUGAUGGCCAUGUAAUCGACUUUAUUCAUCUUUCCUAUCAUGUGCAUUAUUCAAGAACAAAAGUUUUUUUUUCUUAAUAACUGGCUUCAUAUGCUGGCAAAGAAUAACGUAAACAUCAUGGAAAGGUUGUAAAACAACACAGCAGUCUGCAUCAUGCCUCUGUCUGGGAAAUCAUCUGGGCUAGUCCUGAAAAAUUCUUACUCAAACCAUUUUGUUUUAUAGUUUGUAUUAAUCUUCACAAAUAUUUCACCCUGCCUGACAAAAAACAGCAGUCCAAGAAGUGAGACUGUAUAGAAAAAAUCAUAUUUAUACCAACUGAUACCAUAGUUUGUGUCUGUGGAGAACUCACAAAUGUCUCAUGUUUCAAGGAUAACAAGCACCAAAUUACUUUUAUCACAGGCUCCAUACGUUGAUUCUGUGUCUAAAUUAAAUUACAUUUGAGUGGCAAUGUAAUGUUGAUUAAUCUAUUAAGAGUCGAUGACGUGAUGAGUCUGUCAAUGCUCAUUCAGAAUUCAGAGUCUCUUUUUUACUGAGGAAAAGUUGUGAGCGUAGGGCUGGUAAUUUUAAUGGAUUUUUCAUUAAUUUAACUGAGUAUAGAAUAUGAAUACUUUUCCCACCAAUGCUAAUGCACAGUCAAAAAUAUGGCAUUACAUAGUGCAUUCAUGAAAACUCAUAGGCUACCUGUUUUAAGGUCACUCUCUCGUUUUGAUUCUUUUGUAAUCUAAAACAAUUUGUGACUGAGUUAACAUUAUCUCAGGAGACUUAGAGGGCUAGUUGUUUUUUAAGAGAAAUUGAAUGUAAAUAGUAGGAGGUCAUAGGAUAGUUGCUGAUGUUACCUAUGCCACCAAGGCAAGGCAGGGCAAGGUCUAAUUCUGUCCAUGUUAAUCAGAAAAUUAACCAAUGCCGCAGCCUUAAAGAAUCCUGACUCUCAGCUAAACUCCUCCUUGACCUUGCGAUGACUUGGAAACAAAACUCAUGAGAAAACCCACUUAGAUAAAUUUGACAAUAAUAACCUGGGGCUCAAUUAGCUUGUUUUCUUUGAAUCUUGGCUUUUAUUGCCAUGGAUACAGUCAGUUAAAAAUUCCCUCUGCACUUUGUUAGAAUGUAUUUGUUAUUUGCUUCUCUCUUUCUCGCUUUCCUUUUUUUCACUCUGUCUCUCUGGGUUACUAUGCUGCAGGUCCCAGCUAGCAGGGAGGGUUGUUUCGUUCAGGCGAGUCUGCAGCAACAGAUUUGGGUACAUUACAUACUGUACUUAAGUGUGGUGUUAAAUUUUGAACUCUAAAAUAUGAAUAGGGUGCAGAUGUUUCCAUUGUUCUCUGUUUUCUACUGAGUACUGUGAGUCAGAAGGGUGUGUAUGUGUGUGUGUGUGUGUGUGUGUGUGUGUGUGUGUGUGUGUGUGUGUGUGUGAGUGUGUGUGUGUGUGUGUGUGUGUGAGAGUGUGUGAGAGAGAGAGAGAUAGAGAGAGACAUAUAUAGUAGUCAAAUAUGAAAUGAUUGUAAAACUGGAAAUGAAGACAGGAGAAUUUUAAUCUUGUUAAUUAAUAAAACAUAAUAUCAACAUAACUUUACUUGGUCCUAUGACAGCCUAGCACGAUGCCAAAUGUUUUUUUUUUAAGGUGGAGCAGGAGAUUUGGAUUGCAACAAAGAACAGUACUUCUAUUGUAAAUAUGGAACAUAGCAACAUGUCUGGGUAAAGGCACUAAAUACUGAAGCACUUUAGAUCAUUCAUGUCUGUCAUCUUGCCCUGACACACCUCAGAACCAACAUUAUUGUUGCUUCUGUCUCUCAUUAGAAACUCUCAUUAAAUGGCAUAAAUAUAAAAGGCUAAUAAUGCAACAAGAAUCUUACAGUUUAUGAAUCAACUAACAUUGUAUGUUACGUUUAUAGAAAUUAUUAAAUCAGUAAUAAUUUAUCUCAUGGUUUAACACAAUUGGGUACUUUAUUUGAAGGGAAGAGCAAAAGACUGACAUGACACUGACGUGAAGCAUUUAAAAAUGUUUUCAUGAUUCUUGUCAUUAAGUGUCAUUGAGUAAAUUAUGACACUUUUAAUGCAAAGUUAGCAUUGUUUGAGAUGUUUUUGUUUUUUGGACAACUUGACAUGAACCAAGACAACAAUGUCUGUGUUAUGACAACUUGACAUUAUCCUAGACAACAUAACCUGUCUUACAUAUGUCAUAGCAGGCCUAAUUAUCAAACUUAAAGUGUCAAAAGUGGUUGGUUUUUACAUUGGUUGUCAUGGGACCAUUAUAAUUGUGUCAUGAAUAUUUUUCCUUGACCUCAAAUUAAGUGAAAUAAUUUGGACUUGUCAUAAA